GUCAGAGGGUGCAAACGUUGUUCGGAAUUACUGGGCGUAAAGCGCGUGUAGGCGGCUCUGCAAGUCGGAUGUGAAAGCCCUGGGCUCAACCUAGGAAGUGCACUCGAAACUGCAGAGCUUGAGUCUCGGAGAGGAUCGCGGAAUUCUCGGUGUAGAGGUGAAAUUCGUAGAUAUCGAGAGGAACACCGGUGGCGAAGGCGGCGAUCUGGACGAUGACUGACGCUGAGACGCGAAAGCGUGGGGAGCAAACAGG
rnacentral:rRNA from 1 species